rnacentral:tRNA from 1 species
UCGGCUGUUAACCGAAAGGUUGGUGGUUCGAGCCCACCUGGUCGCG